AGCUUUGCGCAGUGGCAGUAUCGUAGCCAAUGAGGUUUAUCCGAGGUGCGAUUAUUGCUAAUUGAAAACUUUUCCCAAUACAAUUAGCUUCCUUUUUUUUUUUUAAAUAUAGCAUUAUC
rnacentral:snRNA from 1 species